CCAGACUCCUGGGAGGCAGCAGUGGGGAAUAUUGCACAAUGGGGGAAACCCUGAUGCAGCAACGCCGCGUGAGUGAGGAAGUAUUUCGGUAUGUAAAGCUCUAUCAGCAGGGAAUAGAAAAGAAGGUACCUGAAAAAGAAGCCCCGGCUAACUACGUGCCAGCAGCCGCGGUAAUACGUAGGUGGCAAGCGUUAUCCGGAUUUAUUGGGUGUAAAGGGCGUGUAGGCGGGAAUGCAAGUCAGAUGUGAAAACUAUGGGCUCAACCCAUAGCCUGCAUUUGAAACUGUAUUUCUUGAGUGCUGGAGAGGCAAUCGGAAUUCCGUGUGUAGCGGUGAAAUCCGUAGAUAUCUGGAGGAACAUCAGUGGCGAAGGCGACUAUCUGGCACAUAACUGACGCUGAGGAGCGAAAGCGUGGGUAGCAAGCAGGAUUAGAUACCCGCGUAU
rnacentral:rRNA from 1 species